rnacentral:rRNA from 1 species
UACGUAGGGUGCAAGCGUUGUCCGGAAUUAUUGGGCGUAAAGAGCUCGUAGGCGGUCUGUCGCGUCUGCUGUGAAAACUCAGGGCUUAACCCUGAGCUUGCAGUGGGUACGGGCAGACUAGAGUGCGGUAGGGGAGACUGGAAUUCCUGGUGUAGCGGUGAAAUGCGCAGAUAUCAGGAGGAACACCGGUGGCGAAGGCGG